rnacentral:rRNA from 1 species
UACGGGGGGGGCAAGCGUUGUUCGGAAUUACUGGGCGUAAAGGGCGCGUAGGCGGGCAAGCAAGUCGAAGGUGAAAUCCCACGGCUCAACCGUGGAAGUGCCCCCGAUACUGCUUGUCUUGAGGGAGAUAGGGGCGUGCGGAACUUCCGGUGGAGCGGUGAAAUGCGUAGAUAUCGGAAGGAACACCGGUGGCGAAAGCGGCGCGCUGGAUCUCUUCUGACGCUGAGGCGCGAAAGCCAGGGGAGCAAACGGG